GACGAACGCUGGCGGCGUGCUUAACACAUGCAAGUCGAGCGGAAAGGCCCUUUCGGGGGUACUCGAGCGGCGAACGGGUGAGUAACACGUGAGUAAUCUGCCCCUGGCUUUGGGAUAGCCACCGGCAACGGUGAUUAAUACCGGAUACGACCACUUCUCGCAUGGGAUGGUGGCGGAAAGUUUUUCGGUCAGGGCUGUGCUCGCGGCCUAUCAGCUUGAUGGUGAGGUAAUGGCUCACCAUGGCUUCGACGGGUAGCCGGCCUGAGAGGGUGACCGGUCACACUGGGACUGGGACACGGCCCAGACUCCUACGGGAGGCAGCAGUGGGAAUAUUGGACAAUGGGCGGAAGCCUGAUCCAGCAACGCCGCGUGAGGGAUGACGGCCUUCGGGUUGUAAACCUCUUUCAGCAGGGACGAAGCGCAAGUGACGGUACCUGCAGAAGAAGCACCGGCCAACUACGUGCCAGCCGCCGCGGUAA
rnacentral:rRNA from 1 species